AUGUGGAGCCAUCAGCUGCAAGAGCUGG
rnacentral:piRNA from 1 species